CAUAGGUUAAUGAGGCGAACCGGGGGAACUGAAACAUCUAAGUACCCCGAGGAAAAGAAAUCAACCGAGAUUCCCCCAGUAGCGGCGAGCGAACGGGGAGCAGCCCAGAGCCUGAAUCAGUGUGUGUGUUAGUGGAAGCGUCUGGAAAGGCGCGCGAUACAGGGUGACAGCCCCGUACACAAAAAUGCACAUACUGUGAGCUCGAUGAGUAGGGCGGGACACGUGGUAUCCUGUCUGAAUAUGGGGGGACCAUCCUCCAAGGCUAAAUACUCCUGACUGACCGAUAGUGAACCAGUACCGUGAGGGAAAGGCGAAAAGAACCCCGGCGAGGGGAGUGAAAAAGAACCUGAAACCGUGUACGUACAAGCAGUGGGAGCACGCUUAGGCGUGUGACUGCGUACCUUUUGUAUAAUGGGUCAGCGACUUAUAUUCUGUAGCAAGGUUAACCGAAUAGGGGAGCCGAAGGGAAACCGAGUCUUAACUGGGCGUUAAGUUGCAGGGUAUAGACCCGAAACCCGGUGAUCUAGCCAUGGGCAGGUUGAAGGUUGGGUAACACUAACUGGAGGACCGAACCGACUAAUGUUGAAAAAUUAGCGGAUGACUUGUGGCUGGGGGUGAAAGGCCAAUCAAACCGGGAGAUAGCUGGUUCUCCCCGAAAGCUAUUUAGGUAGCGCCUCGUGAAUUCAUCUCCGGGGGU
rnacentral:rRNA from 1 species